AUCUAGUUCUCUGGUAAAUUCGAGAAUCCUGUUGCGUGUUCGAGGUCCGAAUGUUCGACGCGUAGAACAUUCGGACCUCGAACACGCAACAGGAUUCUCGAAUUUACCAG
rnacentral:pre_miRNA from 1 species